CGUCUGUUGAAUAAUGUCUGACGAAGUGUGCUACUCCACUGUGGUUUUUGCCAACCCUGGCACAUCAGCAAAUGAAGCAAAAAAGGAAGAAGAGACAAUCUAUGCCACAGUGAGGAGUACAGGAAGUGUACAGACAGUGCACCCUACAAGACCUACAGAGAAAAAGGAAGAAGAGAUACCUUAUGCUGAUGUGAGGAGUGAACAGACAGCGCCCCCUCCUG